GUGAGGAAUAUUGGUCAAUGGGCGAGAGCCUGAACCAGCCAAGUCGCGUGAAGGAAGAAGGAUCUAUGGUUCGUAAACUUCUUUUGCAGGGGAAUAAAGUGCAGGACGUGUCCUGUUUUGUAUGUACCCUGAGAAUAAGGAUCGGCUAACUCCGUGCCAGCAGCCGCGGUAAUACGGAGGAUCCGAGCGUUAUCCGGAUUUAUUGGGUUUAAAGGGUGCGUAGGUGGUUUGAUAAGUCAGCGGUGAAAGUUUGCAGCUUAACUGUAAAAAUGCCGUUGAAACUGUAGGGCUUGAGUGUAAAUGAGGUAGGCGGAAUGCGUGGUGUAGCGGUGAAAUGCAUAGAUAUCACGCAGAACUCCGAUUGCGAAGGCAGCUUACUAAGCUACAACUGACACUGAAGCACGAAAGCGUGGGGAUCAAACAGGAUUAGAUACCCCAGUAGUCC
rnacentral:rRNA from 1 species